rnacentral:tRNA from 1 species
GGGGUUGUGACUCAGUGGUAGAAUGCUUGCUUACCGUGCACGAGGCACUGGGUUUGAUUCUCAGCACCACA